rnacentral:tRNA from 1 species
CCGACCUUAGCUCAGUUAGUAGAGCAGAGGACUGUAGUUUGUAAAUGAUGCACAGGUUAUCCUGAGGUCGUUGGUUCAAAUGCGGCAGGUUGAA